rnacentral:rRNA from 1 species
CUACGGGAGGCUCCAGUCAAGAAUAUUCCCCAAUGGCCGAAAGGCUGAGGGAGCGACGCCGCGUGUAUGAAGAAGCUUUUCGGAGUGUAAAGUACUUUUAACUGGGACGAAACAAUGACUUUACCAGUUGAAUAAGGGGCUGCUAACCUCGUGCCAGCAGCAGCGGUAAUACGAGGGCCCCAAGCGUUAUCCGGAUUUAUUGGGCGUAAAGAGUCUGUAGGCGGUUUAUUACAUCUCCUGUUAAAUCUAUCAGCUUAACUGGUAGGCUGCGGGAGAGAUGGAUAGACUAGAGGCCGGAAGAGGUAAGCGGAAUUGUUGGUGUAGGGGUUAAAUCCGUUAAUAUCAACAAGAACAUCAAAUGCGAAGGCAGCUUACUGGGACGGUUCUGACGCUGAGAGACGAAAGCGUGGGGAGCGAAUGGGAUUAGAUACCCCAGUAGUC